UGAGAGAGGGGGUGAGGGUUGGCGGGUGGCGCAUGCGCGAGGAGACGGAACCCGGAAGUGGGAGCGGAGCCGCCUUGUCCCGGGAGGUUCCCCCACCUGAAAUCCAGCCCGGGCAUCCCCCACUCACCCCACCCCCUCCCCGCGGGCUCGUGACUGAGAGCGGCUCUGCGGGACCGGACUCCUGGGUUCUGUGUCCGGACCCCGCCCCGCGCGUGACCUUGGGCUGGGGCUGCAGCCGGUUCGCUCCCGGGGGUGCCCGACUCUGUCUCUCAUCGAUCCUCUGAACCAUUUCCCGCAAGACCCAGGGUCUUUGUCUGCCUCGGGUCGCUCGUCCCCCAGCUCCAGCCCAGACACCACCCCCCCACCCCAAAACACGCCCCACUGCUUGGCAAGGCUUUAAUGACCCCGUAGGUGUGGCUAGGAACUCGUUGUUCCGCACGGUUUGGACCUACAGGGUCCCUUCGUUUCUCCGUCCCCCUGUGUGUUUCGUUGCUCUCUGACGGGCAUUGGACCAUCUGUCAUCCUCAAAACUUUCCCCACGCCGUACCCCAAAUUUCUGCCAAAAGGCACCGAAACCAUCCGGAGGUGACUGGUUUAAAUGUAAUUUGCGUUUCAUUUUAAUCUGCCAGAGGGGUUACUCUCUCCACCAUUUGUACUUUACAAGUACAGAAUCAGAUUAAAUUUGCCCCCCAAAUGGAUGUGAUGUAAGAACAAACCUAUACAAAUCUAAGACCACAACAGAUAUUUCUGAGCAAUAACUUAAUUUUCAAUUGUAGUGGAACAGGAUUUUUUGUUAACCAAUAAAUAUUAAUGUACUAUUUGCUACUGAAAGUGCAGCAUUGUACAAAUGAUUUGUGGUGUCUAUAGUUAUGAUUUUGUCUUCUGCAUAUUGCAUCCUCAAGAUUAAAGAUUACUUGCUUGUCUAUUGGGAGCAGGGCCCAGGAGAUUCAAGAUAGUGUAUCUUACAAGAAUACAAGCCAUAUACUCAAGCGAAAGGUCUGGAUCUUACAAAGGUCUCUGAGGCAAGCCCAAAGAAUGCCCUGGAGUGGUGAGGAAACAGGCAGGGAAAUUCAGGGACAGAAGAAGCAGAAGAGGGGGAGAGUUCUAGCAGCUCUAUAGAAUAGUGAACAACUUCUCAGGAAGAACCUGACCAUCACAGGUGAUGCCCAUCAGGGACUCUCAUGGACAGAUGUUGAAAACCCAUGAAGAACAAGUCAGAUGACUGAAACAACAUUUCCAUUCCAUAUUAAACUGUUCAAAGCUAACAGUCAUGCACGUGUUCAAGAGAAAUGCCAAUGUUAAAUUAGAAGUAGAAGAGGGACCAAUAACACCUGAUGAGAUUAAACCAAUUAUCAAAGGCCUCAAACAGAGGAAAGAUCCUGGGGCUGACAGAAUUGAAGCAGAAGUACUAAAGGCAGGAAGCGAAAUUCUGAUUCAGCAGUUAACAAAUCAUUCAGUAUUGCUUAAUAAAAAAUGG